rnacentral:rRNA from 1 species
AUGGUGGUCUCCAUGGCCGGCGGCCAUGCGGGUCGCGCGAGGCAAGGCAGGCAAGCCAAGGGCGGUCGCGUUGAGGAUUGUGUCGUCGGGGCCUGCAGAAGGAGGCGAGGCAAGGUGGCUCCGACAAGGGCACCGGUGGCCAGGGACGGGCGCAGCAGUGACGAGGAGGUCGGGGCGGAUGGAGUUUCUGCUCCGGCGAUGCAGCGGCGCGGGGAACAGAGGGAGGUGCUGCUCUGGGCGCUCGUCGUCAUCUCAGGUGAGAACCGAGGCGAUGCAGGAGGGGAAACAGGCGCGGCACCAGGGAGGGGCUCGCCGGGCAGCACGCUGGCCGGCGCGGGCAAGGAGGCACGGGCAAGGCUCGCUGGCGUGGGAGGAGAAGCAGGGCGCGGCGCGCUGGGAGCACAGUGGCAGCAGCCAUGGCACACGGCGAAGGAGGUCGAGGCGUGCAGAAGGAUUCGAAAGGCGAGAGGAGCUUAG